rnacentral:lncRNA from 1 species
GCAGGUGCAGACCUGAAGGAGCGGGAACAGAUGAGUGAAGCAGAGGUGGGGGUGUUUGUCCAGCGACUCCGGGGCCUGAUGAAUGACAUCGCUUCCUCGGCAGUCAUGGGACUGAUUGAGACCACGCGAGGGCUCCUCCCGGGGGCAGGAGGGACUCAGAGGCUGCCCCGUUGUCUGGGGGUGGCCCUGGCGAAGGAGCUCAUCUUCACGGGCCGACGACUGAGUGGAACUGAGGCCCACGUACUGGGGCUGGUGAAUCACGCUGUGGCCCAGAACGAGGAGGGGGACGCCGCCUACCAGCGGGCACGAGCACUGGCCCAGGAGAUCCUGCCCCAGGCCCCCAUUGCCGUGCGGCUGGGCAAAGUAGCCAUUGACCGAGGAACGGAGGUGGACAUUGCAUCUGGGAUGGCCAUUGAAGGGAUGUGCUAUGCCCAGAAUAUUCCAACCCGGGACCGGCUAGAGGGCAUGGCAGCCUUCAGGGAGAAGCGGACUCCCAAAUUUGUUGGCAAAUGACCCCCAUUUUAACCUUCAGCAUGGGAGAUGCAUGCCCUGAAGAGCAGGAUCCAGAAGGAAGAUUUGUGGCCAGAUUGCCUUCAUCAUUUCACCUCUCCAGACUUCCAUUUCUUCACAAGGAUGAUGAUGGAAAUAAAAUGACUGGCGUGAUGCCUGGAACCAAGGUGCUGAUCCUACCACCUACUGCUACCUUCCUUAGCUUCACCCUGGCUAGAAAUAAUCACGAGGGUUGGGUUUGCUUUGGAAAAUGCCUGUCUCUCUACUUGAAUGAUAAAG